rnacentral:rRNA from 1 species
AACGUAGGAGGCAAGCGUUAUCCGGAGUUGACUGGGCGUAAAGCGUGCGUAGGCGGGUUGGUAAGUGGGUGGUGAAAGCGCUCGGCUAAACCGGGCGAGUGCCAUCCAGACUGCCAGUCUAGAGGCGGAUAGAGGGGUGCGGAAUUCCGGGUGUAGCGGUGAAAUGUGUAGAGAUCCGGAGGAACACCAGUGGUGCAAACGGCGCCCGUGGGUCCGAACUGACGCUGAUGCACGAAAGCGUGGGGAGCGAACGGG